rnacentral:rRNA from 1 species
UAUUGGACAAUGGGCGAAAGCCUGAUCCAGCAAUGCCGCGUGAGUGAUGAAGGCCCUAGGGUUGUAAAGCUCUUUUACCCGGGAAGAUAAUGACUGUACCGGGAGAAUAAGCUCCGGCUAACUCCGUGCCAGCAGCCGCGGUAAUACGGAGGGAGCUAGCGUUGUGCGGAAUUACUGGGCGUAAAGCGCACGUAGGCGGCUUUGCAAGUUAGAGGGGAAAGCCCGGGGCUCAACCCCGGAAUAGCCUUUAAAACUGCAUCGCUUGAAUCCAGGAGAGGUGAGUGGAAUUCCGAGUGUAGAGGUGAAAUUCGUAGAUAUUCGGAAGAACACCAGUGGCGAAGGCGGCUCACUGGACUGGUAGUGACGCUGAGGUGCGAAAGCGUGGGGAGCAAACAG